GAUGAACGCUGGCGGCGUGCCUAAUACAUGCAAGUCGAGCGAACAGAUGAGGAGCUUGCUCCUCUGACGUUAGCGGCGGACGGGUGAGUAACACGUGGAUAACCUACCUAUAAGACUGGGAUAACUUCGGGAAGCCGGAGCUAAUACCGGAUAAUAUAUUGAACCGCAUGGUUCAAUAGUGAAAGACGGUUUUGCUGUCACUUAUAGAUGGAUCCGCGCCGCAUUAGCUAGUUGGUAAGGUAACGGCUUACCAAGGCAACGAUGCGUAGCCGACCUGAGAGGGUGAUCGGCCACACUGGAACUGAGACACGGUCCAGACUCCUACGGGAGGCAGCAGUAGGGAAUCUUCCGCAAUGGGCGAAAGCCUGACGGAGCAACGCCGCGUGAGUGAUGAAGGUCUUCGGAUCGUAAAACUCUGUUAUUAGGGAAGAACAAAUGUGUAAGUAACGAUGCACGUCUUGACGGUACCUAAUCAGAAAGCCACGGCUAACUACGUG
rnacentral:rRNA from 1 species